rnacentral:rRNA from 1 species
UACGGAGGGUGCAAGCGUUAUCCGGAUUCACUGGGUUUAAAGGGUGCGUAGGUGGGUCUGUAAGUCAGUGGUGAAAUCUCCGUGCUUAACAUGGAAACUGCCAUUGAUACUAUAGGUCUUGAAUUUUCUGGAGGUCAGCGGAAUAUGUCAUGUAGCGGUGAAAUGCUUAGAUAUGACAUAGAACACCAAUUGCGAAGGCAGCUGGCUACAGGGAUACUGACACUGAGGCACGAAAGCGUGGGGAUCAAACAGG